AACGAACGCUGGCGGCAGGCCUAACACAUGCAAGUCGAGCGAAGCCUUCGGGCUUAGCGGCGGACGGGUGAGUAACGCGUGGGAACGUGCCCUUUGGUACGGAAUAGCCCCGGGAAACUGGGAGUAAUACCGUAUGUGGUCGAGAGACGAAAGAUUUAUCGCCAAAGGAUCGGCCCGCGUUGGAUUAGUUUGUUGGUGGGGUAAUGGCCUACCAAUACGAUGAUCGGUAGCUGGUAUGCGAAUGCGAACAGCCACACUGGGACUGAGACACGGAACAGACUCCUACGGGAGGCAGCAGUGGGGAAUAUUUGGCAAUGGGUGAAAGCCUGACCAAGCAAUGCCGCGUGGAGGAAGAAGGCCUUUGGGUUGUAAUUUCCUUUUCUCAAUGAAGAAGUUCUGACGGUAUUUGAGGAAUAAGCAUCGGCUAAUUCUGUGCCAGCAGCCGCAGUAACAC
rnacentral:rRNA from 1 species